rnacentral:rRNA from 1 species
UACGUAGGGUGCGAGCGUUAAUCGGAAUUACUGGGCGUAAAGCGUGCGCAGGCGGUCUCGCAAGUCCGAUGUGAAAUCCCCGGGCUCAACCUGGGAACUGCGUUGGAGACUACGGGGCUGGAGUACGGCAGAGGGGGGUGGAAUUCCACGUGUAGCAGUGAAAUGCGUAGAUAUGUGGAGGAACACCGAUGGCGAAGGCAGC